rnacentral:rRNA from 1 species
UACAGAGGGGGCGAGCGUUGUUCGGAAUUACUGGGCGUAAAGGGCGCGUAGGCGGCCAACUAAGUCAGACGUGAAAUCCCUCGGCUCAACCGGGGAACUGCGUCUGAUACUGGAUGGCUUGAAUUCGGGAGAGGGAUGCGGAAUUCCAGGUGUAGCGGUGAAAUGCGUAGAUAUCGAGAGGAACACCUGCGGCGAAGGCGGGUUGCUGGGCUGACACUGACGCUGAUGCGCGAAAGCCAGGGGAGCGAACGGG